CCAACCUGAUUAUCUUGUAUGUACCCCAGCACUAAGUGCUCAUAGUAAGCACUUAACAAAUACCAUAAACCGACCCCACCCAAGUAGAACAAUGCUAGGUCCUGUGGAAAAAUACCAGCUAUGGGCAGGCACCCUUUAUCUGAAGUACUUAUUUAAGGCCCAUUGCUUCCAGACUCCCACCUGCCCAUCGCAUGAAGGCUGGUGCGAAUGACAGAAGUCACAAUUUCAAGAAAUUUGGAAACCACUCAGCAUCCAAGCGAACCCGUGGCGUCCCACAGAUAAGGCCAGGGGCCAUUUCGUAGAAACACACAGGAACGGAGUUGGGGUCUCGCAGCUGUCUGUGGACUGCAGGCGGGGAACAGAGCCUGUGGCUGGGGCAAGAACUUGUGAAGAGAAGACAAAGGACUGACAAUCAUUUUGAAAAGGUAACAGCCAAAUACUUACUCAUUUCUGCAAGUUUCUGCUGAAAUUUAGACUCUCCAGGUAGAUGUUUACUGCAGAAAAAAAGAAUCAAUUCUGUAUGACUCCACCAGAGAAAUUAAACUUCCUAUUUUUGGUUACCAAAGGGAA